rnacentral:lncRNA from 1 species
AAGUGUUAUUUAGAACUGCUGUAGGCAAAAAGAAUCAUAUUUCUGUGUCAUUCUUCAAAGAUGUUUGUGUGAUGACAGCUUGAUUCUUCAGACCUGCUCAAGGACUCUUUUCUUCUCAUUUGCCUUUAUUUUGAUGGUUUGGGGAAACAUCUUUUAGAGAAGAACAUGUCAUGAACAUGAGAGCACAGACAUCUCUUCCACAGACUGACUUCAAAUCUUUUGAGCAAAUACCCAGGAGUAAGAUUGCCAGAUCAUAUGAGAACCAGGAACCCUGGGAACUUCAUUUCCUAGACUUUCAAGAAGGACUUCAAAGAUUUUAGAUACUUCCAAAAGUAGAAACCAGUAGAAGAAAGUACUGUGCCUCCAGAGAAGACA